rnacentral:rRNA from 1 species
UGGGGAAUAUUGGACAAUGGGGGCAACCCUGAUCCAGCGAUGCCGCGUGGGUGAAGAAGGCCUUCGGGUUGUAAAGCCCUUUAGGUUGGGACGAAGUUUGGUGGGAGAAUAUCCCAUCAAGUUGACGGUACCGACAGAAUAAGCACCGGCAAACUCUGUGCCAGCAGCCGCGGUAAUACAGAGGGUGCGAGCGUUAAUCGGAGUUACUGGGCGUAAAGGGCGCGUAGGCGGUUGAGUAUGUGUGAUGUGAAAGCCCUGGGCUUAACCUAGGAAGUGCAUCGCAAACUACUUAACUGGAGUAUAUGAGAGGGUGGUGGAAUUUCCGGUGUAGCGGUGAAAUGCGUAGAGAUCGGAAGGAACGUCAAUGGCGAAGGCAGCCACCUGGCAUAAUACUGACGCUGAGGCGCGAGAGCGUGGGGAGCGAACAG